rnacentral:rRNA from 1 species
AAUCAACGCUGGCGGCGCGCCUAACACAUGCAAGUCGAACGAGAACGGUUUCAGCAAUGAGACCUAGUACAGUGGCGAACGGGUGAGUAACACGUGGGUGACCUACCCUCAAGUGGGGGAUAACCCGGGGAAACCUGGGCUAAUACCGCAUGAUAUCCGCACGGAUCAAAGAGGCAAUUCGCUCGAGGAUGGGCCCGCGGCCGAUUAGCUUGUUGGCGGGGUAACGGCCCACCAAGGCUCUGAUCGGUAGCCGGUCUGAGAGGACGCACGGCCACACUGGAACUGGAACACGGUCCAGACUCCUACGGGAGGCAGCAGUGGGGAAUCUUGCACAAUGGGGGAAACCCUGAUGCAGCGACGCCGCGUGGGUGAUGAAGCUCUUCGGAGUGUAAAGCCCUUUCGGCAGGGAAGAGCCAAGACGGUACCUGCAAAAGAAGCCCCGGCUAACUACGUGCCAGCAGCCGCGGUAAAAC